CAAUAGCGUAUAUUAAAGUUGUUGCGGUAAAAAAGCUCGUAGUUGGAUUUCUACCGAAGAUAGCCGGUCGGGUCUUCGACCUUGUAUCUGGUUUUGUCUUUGGUAUCCUCAUAGGGAACGUUUCUGCGCUUUAUUGCGUGGUGCGGUAUCUAUGACUUUUACUUUGAGGAAAUUAGAGUGUUCACGGCAGGCAAACGCCUUGAAUAUAUUAGCAUGGAAUAAUAACAUAGGAUCUUCGUCCUAUUUUGUUGGUUUCUAGGGCUAAGAUAAUGAUUAAUAGGGAUAAUUGGGGGCAUCUGUAUCAACGCGUCAGAGGUGGAAUUCUAGGAUUGCGUUGCGACAAACUACUGCGAAAGCAUUUGCCAAGGAUGUUUUCAUUGA
rnacentral:rRNA from 1 species